GAUGAACGCUGGCGGCGUGCCUAAUACAUGCAAGUCGAGCGAACAGACGAGGAGCUUGCUCCUCUAACGUUAGCGGCGGACGGGUGAGUAACACGUGGAUAACCUACCUAUAAGACUGGGAUAACUUCGGGAAACCGGAGCUAAUACCGGAUAAUAUAUUGAACCGCAUUGUUCAAUAGUGAAAGACGGUUUUGCUGUCACUUAUAGAUGGAUCCGCGCCGCAUUAGCUAGUUGGUAAGGUAACAGCUUACCAAGGCAACGAUGCGUAGCCGACCUGAGAGGGUGAUCGGCCACACUGGAACUGAGACACGGUCCAGACUCCUACGGGAGGCAGCAGUAGGGAAUCUUCCGCAAUGGGCGACAGCCUGACGGAGCAACGCCGCGUGAGUGAUGAAGGUCUUCGGAUCGUAAAACUCUGUUAUUAGGGAAGAACAAAUGUGUAAGUAACUAUGCACGUCUUGACGGUACCUAAUCAGAAAGCCACGGCUAACUACGUG
rnacentral:rRNA from 1 species